ACAUAUUAACAUGUUCAACAUAUAUCUCAUAAAUAUUGGACUAACAUAACAUACAUGUUACAGUUCAUAUAACAAGUAUAAAGAUUGAGUUCCUUACUCAAUCAACAUGCUUUACUCAAUCAACGUAGUCAUAAGUUGACUUUAACAUUUCAUACAUUCAACAUAUAUAUAACACAUCAUGCUCUUUGUAAUAAAGAUAUAAAACAAUAAAAUGCACAUAGCAAAU
rnacentral:lncRNA from 1 species